GUCGGCAACAUGUGGAAAGUCAUUAUAUCACCUUUCAUCGAAGCAGUUUAUCAUCAAGCCUGGUCGUGUCAACAAAAGUAGCAUAGACCAUGGUUGCCAAUCGAUGAAAUAUAAAAUUAACAGUUCCUGGGCAAAUUACGCGCUUGGAGGGUCGUUCGAAUUCCCCAUAAGAAUGCAAAUCGACUAUUUUCACAUCAAACGAAAUAUGAAGGGGAGUUUCGUCUUUAUUAUGCACCAAUAUCUUUUCCACUUUAAUGGAAUAUUGUGUAUUUUGGGGAAAUCUUUCAAAAUUUUCUCGUGUCUGUCGGUGAUAUGUGACAUGUGGGUUUAAACAAAUUUUAAGUUCACGAUGAUGACACUUGAAAAGCCCCUAGCUGUCAACGGUGGAGCCCUUCAAUUGCCAUCUAUGCUAUAAAUAUACUUGUCUACUACUUAGGUAAAUAUUUUAUUUCCAAAAAAGCUGUUUUCGUUCCGUUGUGGAAGCCCUAAUAAAUGCUACUUCUAAUGCUGAAAUAACAAUGGCAUAAAAAAUGACAUUUGAUAAGUCUUCGGCUUACAACCCCUCAAACAAGGCUAAAGCUUGAUUUGGAAGAGCAGUAAAGAUGCAAAUAACGAAUCUGGCACUAGAUACUAUCCAAGCACUAUUCUGUUACGAAAUUAUUACCCGUCAUUUGUCAAACACUAUUUUUCGCAAAAAAAAUAUUUAUGGUGCAGUUUGUCUUUUAAAUUCCUUUUGGGACCGUGCCAAAAGUACAGUAAACAAAAUCUUAUAACGAGCUUCCGGCUAUACUCUUUUUCAACCACCGAAAAUUUUUCCAUAAGCUCAAUGUAUUUUUUUACCGGUUAUAGCAACCAAACAAAGCAGCAAAGUAUUAAUUGAUGAACAGAUUAUUGAAUUACUAAGUAAAAA